rnacentral:rRNA from 1 species
GUGCCAGCCGCCGCGGUAAUACGGAGGGGGUUAGCGUUGUUCGGAAUUACUGGGCGUAAAGCGCACGUAGGCGGAUCAGAAAGUUGGGGGUGAAAUCCCGGGGCUCAACCCCGGAACUGCCUCCAAAACUUCUGGUCUGGAGUUCGAGAGAGGUGAGUGGAAUUCCGAGUGUAGAGGUGAAAUUCGUAGAUAUUCGGAGGAACACCAGUGGCGAAGGCGGCUCACUGGCUCGAUACUGACGCUGAGGUGCGAAAGUGUGGGGAGCAAACAGGAUUAGAAACCCCGGUAGUCC